UACGAAGGGUGCAAACGUUGCUCGGAAUCAUUGGGCGUAAAGCGCACGUAGGCGGCUUCAAAAGUCGGAUGUGAAAUCCCACGGCUCAAUCGUGGACGUGCAUCCGAAACUGGGAGGCUUGAGUACUGAAGAGGAUCGCGGAAUUCCCGGUGUAGAGGUGAAAUUCGUAGAUAUCGGGAGGAACACCAGUGGCGAAGGCGGCGAUCUGGGCAGAUACUGACGCUGAGGUGCGAAAGCGUGGGGAGCAAACAGGG
rnacentral:rRNA from 1 species